rnacentral:lncRNA from 1 species
CUCGAUCUGCCUCAACACGGUUUGGAUCCUUGCAGUGACGAAUUCGUCGUUUUUGAGCCCCGGCACCUACAUCCUGAAGGAGUACGAUCUUAAGGCUGGUAUGGAUCUAAACGCCCACCGCUUCCCUGAUCUGACUGCUAUAAAUUCUCUCACAUGCAUGCUAGGUGAAACACCACUGUACCAAUGCAGGGCGGAGACACAGAGAGAUGUGCAGGGUCAACUGCUGCCAUUCGCCCUCAUCAAUUCGUAGCACAUCGUGUAUUGUAGAUGGCUUAUGGCCGCAGCUAAUUGCAUGAUUAGCCCAUACGUACAAAAAUUAUAAAACCAUCACUGAUGUAGAAAGCCCAUAAACCAUGUACGAUUGUGUCUCAGUUUUCGAUGUGCCAAUGCAUAAUCGGUCAAUCAUGUUGAUCCAUUGUAGAUGCACAUACGCCUAAUGUAGCAAUAUCAUGGAAAACAUCCAUACUAAUAUUGUUCGUGGGCACACUAGCCACCUUGGCUGUUGCUUCUUGAAUGACUUAUUGGGAUGGCACGUGAGGCAAAAUGGUUCUGCUCUGCCAUCACCUAGUGCUUAACAGAAUCUUAGU